UCCACAUUGUGACUUAUAUCCUCUCGGGUGCUGGCUCCCCACUGAUGCACAGGGAGGAUAGGGCAGAGGAAGUGAAAGCCUCGCCCUGCAGAAAGCAGCUCAUUUCUAACCUGGUGCCUGCUCAGCUGGAAUCUGAUUCUCAGAAACAUGCUUUGCUGUCCAUACAGAGAAGACCAUCCAUUCAAUUUCUCGGAAGAAGAAGCAAAGGCUAGUUGGGGGCACCCUGCCACACGCCUUUUGAGGAGGUGAGCGGAUGUCCGUGAUGCCCACCACUGCGGAGGGUUCCCAGGGAUGGCCCUGUCGAUCACACAGCUGACCCCUGUGGCACCCAUGUGUGCCUGCGUCAUUUUACAGAAAGGGCCCAGCAGAACCCUUUCACCACAGAGGUUCUUCAUACCAGCCUCCUGGCUGCUAAGGCCAGCCCAACAUCUUUUGUAGCAAAUGACAGUGCAUCACUCUUAUCUGGAAGCUACUUGUCCAACAAUUUCUGUGAAUCAGAACCCUGCCAGGAAUCAUGAAGGACAAUGAAGAACUCUGAGCACCCGACUGCACAACAACAGCAACCCUUUCACCAUCA